CAGUCGCCACGGUAAUACGUAGGUGGCAAGCGUCGUCCGGAUUUACUGGGCGUAAAGCGAACGCAGGCGGACUGUUAAGUAGGAAGUGAAAGGUCGGAGCUCAACUCCAACAUUGCUUCUUAUACUGGCAGUCUUGAGUAGCGGAGAGGAAGGGGGAACGACACGUGUAGCGGUGAAAUGCGUUGAUAUGUGUCGGAACACCCAUGGCGAAAGCACCCUUCUGGACGCAAACUGACGCUCAGGUUCGAAAGCCAGGGGAGCGAACGGGAUUAGAUACCCCGGUAGUCCCUGUCUCUUAUAC
rnacentral:rRNA from 1 species